rnacentral:lncRNA from 1 species
GUGGGCUAUACUCGGCCUUGUCUCAGGAUGGACCUGAGCCCUAGGAUCUCAGGACUACCUGGCAUGAUGACUCCUUGCUGUCCACCUGGCCGUGCUGCUGCUCCAGUUUCAACUGCUCUGCCUGAGGCUAUGGAACCCUGACCUGUUCACCGGACGUGCUACCUGUCCCAGACCUGCUGUUUUCAACUCUCUAGAGACAGAAGGAGCGGUAGAGAUACUUUCAAUGAUCGGCUAUGAAAAGCCAACUGACAUUUACUCUUGAGGUGCUGACUUGUUGUACCCUCGACAACUACUGUGAUUAUUAUUAUUUGACCAUGCUGGUCAUUUAUGAACAUUUGAACAUCUUGGCCAUGUUCUGUUAUAAUCUCCACCCGGCACAGCCAGAAGAGGACUGGCCACCCCUCAUAGCCUGGUUUCUCUCUAGGUUUCUUCCUAGGUUUUGGCCUUUCUAGGGAGUUUUUCCUAGCCACUGUGCUUCUACACCUGUAUUGCUUGCUGUUUGGGGUUUUAGGCUGGGUUUCUGUACAGCACUUUGAGAUAUCAGCUGAUGUAAGAAGGGCUAUAUAAAUUGAUUUGAUUUUGAUUUGAUGACAGUCAAUUAUGGCUAAAAGCAGAAGCAUUUAUCCUGUAGCACAAGCUCACAUGUAGGUAGUAUUUUGCAUUAUUCCAAAUCAUACAUUUUGGGUCAGUUUAAUCUGUGAAGUAGUAAACAGGAUACAGAAUUGCAAAACCCAAACAAAUUAAAUGGUUGGUGGAAAUAUAAUUGUCUAUUCUAAGCAUUAAGGUUAAAAUACUAUAUAAACAUUAUUUCCAGAGAAAAGUUAUAUAUUAUUUGGUAUCUGGAACUGUGACCUUUCAGAUUCAAUGAAACUAAUGUUCUAUGACUGAGUGGAAUUUCUUUGAAUUGCACUUAAUUAAAUUCUACUUCCUGCCACUCAAACUCAAAUUAUACAUCAUGUGGGGUGUGGUCAAUUCAAUUAGAAUUUCAACUCAUGAGUUGAAUGGAAGUCAAUUCCAAAAUUCAGAAUUGAGCCCAACCCUGGUGAGAAUGUGUUUGUUAUUGUGUAGUUGAAUAAAUGCUUUUGAGUGUACAAUGUAUGCAUGCUUUUGAGUGUGUGUGUGUGUGUGUGUGUGUACUGCAAAUUAGCCUUAAACAUGUCCUUACGUGAUGCUGUCAUUAAGAUUUGUAUUGUCAAUCCAGACCCACUGUCCGUCUUACAUCGUUUCUGUCAGUCCAAUCCAGGGGAGUGUCUCCAACCCUCCUCAGUGAUGUAGUCAAGUCACUUAACCUCGAGCCUGAGUCGAGUCCCAAGUCCCUAGUAUUCUCAAGUCACGAGUCGAGUCAUGGAUACAGAUGUCCUCCGUCGCGGAUGCAGGCGUAUUGACUCUGUUCGUUGCUGGAGAAAUAGUAGCAUGAUCCAUUGAGAAACGCCAAGCCAGGAUAACAUUGUGCCUUCCCUCUCUCUUCUACGGAAGCAAUCUAAAUGUAAUUACUCACAGUACUAUAUCCUCUUAUGUUCAUGUUAAAUGUGUGUUCCCGUUUAAGAGUGCACAAGAGUUGUGGACAAGAAUCACCCCCCCCCC